CUUAUCGGAAGUAGAGCAGAAGAGGGAAAGGUUAUCUGAAAUUGAGACAAAUGAGAAAUCUGGUAUCUUCUCCUCAAAUAUUCGUAGAAAAAAUUUCGCUGCCUCCUCCGCAGGUUACCUUAACUUAUUCCGUUCUCUAGAAAAAUAGCUUGGACCCAACUGCUCUUUUAUGAGUUGGCGGCCAAUGCUUUCACAGAAACUUCCUGCAAAUGUGUGUCAUCUUCGGAGAAAUUCGUGGGCACGAAUCCGGCGUGGAGUCUCGGAUACAGAUGUCUGACCGCUGUCAGACCACACAACGGGGCUGUCAAGGGCAAAGACUUCCCGGGAGUGUCCCUGGAAGGGACUGCGGGUGCUCGUCACUGACCAGACAGCAGCCAGCCUUGACUCUGCCGGCGGAAGAAGGCUGGAGGCCGCAGGUCAGAUUGGCGAGGAACAGAAGAGGCUGACAUCCAGCUUUAAGCGUGUGUUCACGGCCACUAAGCACCAAGCAGACGAGCGCCAGAGAUGGGAGCAGCAUGAAAUAGCCUAACAGUGUGAACCUGAGGUCCUGAGCGGUGAGUGCACCGGGAGGGAACAGAACGUCCCGACCCGUGAAGGCCACGCAAGAGGCGGGAGGAGCUUCAGGAACCACGGAGCAGAGGAGGGAGGGGCCCAGAUGCCUUCAGUCUGAUCACCUCUUUCAGGGAAGCCCACAGUCUGAUCAGAGACAGAGAUUAUUGAAAAGCGAACUGCGGGUCCAGAAUGAGUCACUCAGGCCAGGUGACCUUUAACCAGCCAAUCUGGAAUUACCUGGUCAGCACUAGGAGAUGAUCCACUAUUGACCCCUUCUGGUGACCUUGCCCGGCACAGCAGGUUCUGUGCUAAUAACUUUCUUUUUCCCCGCCCCCUCUCCACCUUGAAAAGCCUUCAUUUUUGUGCAGCUGGGUGGAGCUCCCCUCUACCCGCCAAGGUGGGGAUCAUCUAAUAAACCUGGUUAGACUUUCA